rnacentral:rRNA from 1 species
GACGAACGCUGGCGGCGUGCCUAAUACAUGCAAGUUGAGCGCUGAAGGUUGGUACUUGUACCGACUGGAUGAGCAGCGAACGGGUGAGUAACGCGUGGGGAAUCUGCCUUUGAGCGGGGGACAACAUUUGGAAACGAAUGCUAAUACCGCAUAAAAACUUUAAACACAAGUUUUAAGUUUGAAAGAUGCAAUUGCAUCACUCAAAGAUGAUCCCGCGUUGUAUUAGCUAGUUGGUGAGGUAAAGGCUCACCAAGGCGAUGAUACAUAGCCGACCUGAGAGGGUGAUCGGCCACAUUGGGACGGAGACACGGCCCAAACGCCUACGGGAGGCAGCAGGAGGGAAUCUUCGGCAAUGGACGAAAGUCUGACCGAGCAACGCCGCGGGAGUGAAGAAGGUUUUCGGAUCGUAAAACUCUGUUGGUAGAGAAGAACGUUGGUGAGAGUGGAAAGCUCAUCAAGUGACGGUAACUACCCAGAAAGGGACGGCUAACUACGUG